UACGGGGGGGGGUAAGCGUUGUUCGGAAUUACUGGGCGUAAAGGCUCGUAGGCGGCCAACUAAGUCGGACGUGAAAUCCCUCAGCUUAACUGGGGAACUGCGUCCGAUACUGGAUGGCUUGAGUUUGGGAGAGGGAUGCGGAAUUCCAGGUGUAGCGGUGAAAUGCGUAGAUAUCUGGAGGAACACCGGUGGCGAAGGCGACAUCCUGGACCGGUAUUGACGCUGAGGCGCGAAAGCCAGGGGAGCAAACGGG
rnacentral:rRNA from 1 species